CUGAAACCGUGUACGUACAAGCAGUGGGAGCACGCUUAGGCGUGUGACUGCGUACCUUUUGUAUAAUGGGUCAGCGACUUAUAUUCUGUAGCAAGGUUAACCGAAUAGGGGAGCCGAAGGGAAACCGAGUCUUAACUGGGCGUUAAGUUGCAGGGUAUAGACCCGAAACCCGGUGAUCUAGCCAUGGGCAGGUUGAAGGUUGGGUAACACUAACUGGAGGACCGAACCGACUAAUGUUGAAAAAUUAGCGGAUGACUUGUGGCUGGGGGUGAAAGGCCAAUCAAACCGGGAGAUAGCUGGUUCUCCCCGAAAGCUAUUUAGGUAGCGCCUCGUGAAUUCAUCUCCGGGGGUAGAGCACUGUUUCGGCAAGGGGGUCAUCCCGACUUACCAACCCGAUGCAAACUGCGAAUACCGGAGAAUGUUAUCACGGGAGACACACGGCGGGUGCUAACGUCCGUCGUGAAGAGGGAAACAACCCAGACCGCCAGCUAAGGUCCCAAAGUCAUGGUUAAGUGGGAAACGAUGUGGGAAGGCCCAGACAGCCAGGAUGUUGGCUUAGAAGCAGCCAUCAUUUAAAGAAAGCGUAAUAGCUCACUGGUCGAGUCGGCCUGCGCGGAAGAUGUAACGGGGCUAAACCAUGCACCGAAGCUGCGGCAGCGACACUAUGUGUUGUUGGGUAGGGGAGCGUUCUGUAAGCCUGUGAAGGUGUACUGUGAGGUAUGCUGGAGGUAUCAGAAGUGCGAAUGCUGACAUAAGUAACGAUAAAGCGGGUGAAAAGCCCGCUCGCCGGAAGACCAAGGGUUCCUGUCCAACGUUAAUCGGGGCAGGGUGAGUCGACCCCUAAGGCGAGGCCGAAAGGCGUAGUCGAUGGGAAACAGGUUAAUAUUCCUGUACUUGGUGUUACUGCGAAGGGGGGACGGAGAAGGCUAUGUUGGCCGGGCGACGGUUGUCCCGGUUUAAGCGUGUAGGCUGGUUUUCCAGGCAAAUCCGGAAAAUCAAGGCUGAGGCGUGAUGACGAGGCACUACGGUGCUGAAGCAACAAAUGCCCUGCUUCCAGGAAAAGCCUCUAAGCAUCAGGUAACAUCAAAUCGUACCCCAAACCGACACAGGUGGUCAGGUAGAGAAUACCAAGGCGCUUGAGAGAACUCGGGUGAAGGAACUAGGCAAAAUGGUGCCGUAACUUCGGGAGAAGGCACGCUGAUAUGUAGGUGAAGUCCCUCGCGGAUGGAGCUGAAAUCAGUCGAAGAUACCAGCUGGCUGCAACUGUUUAUUAAAAACACAGCACUGUGCAAACACGAAAGUGGACGUAUACGGUGUGACGCCUGCCCGGUGC
rnacentral:rRNA from 1 species